CCUACGUGUGGCAGCAGUGAGGAAUAUUGGUCAAUGGGCGUAAGCCUGGACCAGCCAAGUCGCGUGAGGGAUGAAGGUUCUAUGGAUCGUAAACCUCUUUUAUAAGGGAAUAAAGUGCGGGACGUGUCCCGUUUUGUAUGUACCUUAUGAAUAAGGAUCGGCUAACUCCGUGCCAGCAGCCGCGGUAAUACGGGGGGUGCAAGCGUUGUCCGGAAUCAUUGGGCGUAAAGAGUGCGUAGGCGGCACGAAAAGUCUGGUGUUAAAGGCAGAGGCUCAACUUCUGUACGGCACUGGAUACUUGCGAGCUAGAAAGCGGUAGAGGUAGAGGGAAUGCCUGGUGUAGCGGUGAAAUGCUUAGAUAUCA
rnacentral:rRNA from 1 species